UAAGGAAUAUUGGUCAAUGGAGGGAACUCUGAACCAGCCAUGCCGCGUGGAGGAUGAAGGUCCUCUGGAUUGUAAACUUCUUUUAUCUGGGACGAAAAAAGGGAAUUCUUUCUCGACUGACGGUACCAGAUGAAUAAGCACCGGCUAACUCCGUGCCAGCAGCCGCGGUAAUACGGAGGGUGCAAGCGUUAUCCGGAUUUACUGGGUUUAAAGGGAGCGUAGGUGGGUUGGUAAGUCAGUGGUGAAAUCUCCGAGCUUAACUUGGAAACUGCCGUUGAUACUAUCGAUCUUGAAUACUGUGGAGGUUAGCGGAAUAUGUCAUGUAGCGGUGAAAUGCAUAGAUAUGACAUAGAACACCAAUUGCGAAGGCAGCUGGCUACACAAGCAUUGACACUGAGGC
rnacentral:rRNA from 1 species